AGUAUAAACAAAGGUAAAAUGAAGGGAGAUAACUGGGCUUGUAAACUAAGUAUAAACAAAGGUAAAAUGAAGGGAGAUAACUGGGCUUGUAAGCUAAGUAUAAACAAAGGUAAAAUGAAGGGAGAUAACUGAGCUUGUAAGCUAAGUAUAAACAAAGGUAAAAUGAAGGGAGAUAACUGAGCUUGUAAGCUAAGUAUAAACAAAGGUAAAAUGAAGGGAGAUAACUAAGCUAGGUAUAAACAAAGGUAAAAUGAAAGGAGAUAAAUGGGCUAGGUAUAAACACAGGUAAAAUGAAGGGAGAUAACUUAGCUAAGUAUAAACAAAGGUAAAAUGAAGGGAGAUAACUUAGCUAUGUAUAAACAAAGGUAAAAUUAAGGGAGAUAACUGGGCUAAGUAUAAACAAAGGUAAAAUGAAGGAAGAUAACUUAGCUAAGUAUAAACAAAGGUAAAAUGAAGGGAGAUAACUAAGCUAAGUAUAAACAAAGGGAAACUGAAGGGAGAUAACUAAGCUAAGUAUAAACACUUAGAAGGGAGAUAACUUAAGGUAACAGAUGGGGUUCCAAAAAAUAUUAAUCCCUUCAUACUAAGUAACAAAAGUCAAUCAUGGUAAUAAUUCAGACAUCAUUACAAUGAUUGACAUAAAUACGAUAUUAAUUUUCAGACUAAUGAUUUAAAUUUAAGAAAUAAUUCUUUCAUGC